AUAAAAAAACACACAACACACAGAGCCGAGACAAACACAGUUAGCGUGUCAUGUUCACAGACCUCACCACCAACACCACCAUCAUCAUCUCCAUCUCUUUUCCACAAGUCUUCUCUUCUCAUCGAUCCAUUUUUUCACUUUAAACCCCUUCAAAGGUACAAUUGCUUGUGAUGUUUAAGAUCAAGUGCUUUAUAGGUGCUAGCCUUCUGCUGUAGGUUUGUGGUCUUCAUUAAGUUAUAGGAUUUGAUCAAGCACCAGAUAUUAAACAUCACAUUAGUUCUGAUUCUUGAUGUUGAUACACACCUUCUCGUAAACGGUAAAGCUCUAAUUAACUUGACGCUUCUUAUGGAGGCUUAUCAUCUUGAUAUAAAAUGGGACGAUGUCACAUGUCCUAUAUGUCUUUCCUUCCCACAUAACUGUGUUCUUCUUCAAUGCUCUUCUUACAAUAAAGGAUGCCGACCUUUUGUGUGUGACACCGGUCAUUUACACUCAAAUUGUUUGGACCGUUUCCAAACUGCAAAUAAGAUGUCAUCUGGGUCAGAUUCACAAGUAACUUCUGAUGAAUCAACUGUAAUAAGUGCAGAUGCCACUAGCAAGCCAUUAUGCCCUCUUUGCAGAGGUGAUGUUACUGGGUGGGUAGUUGUCAGUGAGGCUCGAGUUAAAUUGGACGAGAAAAAACGCGGCUGUGAAGAAGAAAAGUGCACAUUUUCAGGAACUUAUACGGAGCUUCGGGAACAUGCUAAUGUGGAGCACCCUCAUGCGUGCCCAUCAAAAAUUGAUCCUGCAAGACAGCUUGAUUGGGAAAAUUUUCAGCAGUCGUCUGAGAUUAUCGAUGUUUUGAGCACCAUACAUUCUGAAAUUCCACACGGGGUGGUUUUGGGAGAUUAUGUUAUAGAAUAUGGGGAUAAUGGUUCUGGAGAUGAAUUUGAAGACUUCCCUGGUGAUGAUGGAAAUUGGUGGACUUCUUGUAUAUUGUAUCAAGUGUUUGAUAAUUUUAGGAAUUCUAGAAAUAGAAGAAGGCAAAGAGUAAGUGCAGCAAGGAGAGAAAGUCGUCGAUUGAGCUACGAUAAUACUUCCAACUCUGAUGAAGGUUCUGUAGUAUCUGCGGAAUUUGCAGACUAUAGAGGUGUUGAUCCCGAGGAUGAUUAUGUGACUAGCAAUAGUAUAUCCAGGGGUAGAACAGGUCAUCGCAGGUGGGCAAGCUUUUCUUGUGUUUCUUGAAUGUUUAGUUCUCGAAGACGCCCUUCACGUUUUUUAUGAUAAUUAGGUACGGCAUCUCACUUGGUUUCAAGUCAAUCUCAAGUUGCAAGGAAGUGGGGCUGAGGAGACUCCUUGAGUCUUGGAAGUCAAACAUUCAGAUGGAAAAGGCUGCUACUUGAGAUUGAGAAGACAAAAUAUGUGAUCCUGCGUGCUGAUUUUGCUGACUUUUCUUAAUGAUGUUAGGUUGUUCCCCUCUUCCGAGUUGCUUUUUUCAAAUUCACUCCUGGAUUACCGAAUAAAUCUUCAAACCCCACCCGUGUACAUUGAAAGGGGAAAUCUUUUAUUCUCGUCUUCUGAUACCGAACAAAUGAAACUAACAAAGGACGAUUUAGCAUCUGUUGCCAUCAUGCCAUGUUGACUUAUGCUUACUGAUCCUUUAUCCAUAAAUGAUCCUGUCAUUGUCGUUUGCAUUUAUCGAUAACUGACUUAUUUCCUGUAUAAAUUAAUUUAUUAUUAUUCACUUAUCCAAUAAAAUGCAUCAAGUUGACCACA